rnacentral:rRNA from 1 species
GACGAACGCUGGCGGCGUGCUUAACACAUGCAAGUCGAACGGUGAAGCGCCUUCCUUUUUGGUGGGUGUGGAUGAGUGGCGAACGGGUGAGUAACACGUGAGUAACCUGCCCCCUUCUUCUGGAUAACCGCAUGAAAGUGUGGCUAAUACGGGAUAUUCUGGGUCUGUCGCAUGAUGGGUCUGGGAAAGAUAUUGUUUCGGUGGGGGAUGGGCUCGCGGCCUAUCAGCUUGUUGGUGGGGUGAUGGCCUACCAAGGCGGUGACGGGUAGCCGGCCUGAGAGGGUGGACGGUCCCACUGGGACUGAGACACGGCCCAGACUCCUACGGGAGGCAGCAGUGGGGAAUAUUGCACAAUGGGCGCAAGCAUGAUGCAGCGACGCCGCGGGAGGGAUGGAGGCCUUCGGGUUGUGAACCUCUUUCGCCAGUGAAGCAGGCCUGCCUCGUUUGUGGGUGGGUUGACGGUAGCUGGAGAAGAAGCGCCGGCUAACUACGUG